UACGUAGGGGGGCAAGCGUUUGUCCGGAUUUAUUGGGCGUAAAGAGCGUGUAGGCGGCCGUACAGGUCAGCUGUGAAAACUCGAGGCUCAACCUCGAGACGUCGGUUGAAACCGUACGGCUAGAGUCCGGAAGAGGAGAGUGGAAUUCCCCGGUGUAGCGGUGAAAUGCGCAGAUAUCGGGAAGAACACCCGUGGCGAAGGCGGCUCUCUGGGACGGUACUGACGCUCAUGCACGAAAGCGUGGGGAGCAAACAGG
rnacentral:rRNA from 1 species